rnacentral:rRNA from 1 species
GACGAACGCUGGCGGCGUGCUUAACACAUGCAAGUCGAACGGAAGGGCCCUGCGUUUGUGGGGUGCUCGAGUGGCGAACGCGUGAGUAACACGUGAGUAACCUCCCCUUGACUGUCGGAUAAAUUCAGGAGACUGGGGCGCAUACCGGGGAGAAGCUCCUGCUGCACGGUGUGGGUAGGAAAGAGACGGUGGUUGGGGAUGGACUCGCGGGUUAUCCGCUAGUUGGGCGAGUAGUUGCUUACCAAGGCUUUGACGGAUAGCCGGCCUUAGAGGGUGACCGGCCUCAUGGGGACUGAGAUACGGACCAGAAUCCUACGUGAGGCAGUAGUGGAGAACAUGGCACAGUGAGCGCAAGCCAGAGGUAGCGACGUCGCGAUCGGGAUGACGGGCUACGAGGUGUAAACCUAUUUCGCCUGAGACGAGGCGAGCGUGACGGUAACGGGUAAAGAAGCACCGGCUAACUACGUG